GGGGCUAUAGCUCAGCUGGGAGAGCGCCUGCUUUGCACGCAGGAGGUCUGCGGUUCGAUCUCGCAUAGCUCCACCA
rnacentral:tRNA from 2 species